rnacentral:rRNA from 1 species
UACGUAGGGGGCAAGCGUUGUCCGGAUUUAUUGGGCGUAAAGAGCGUGUAGGCGGCUUGGUAGGUCCGCUGUGAAAACUCGAGGCUCAACCUCGAGAUGUCGGCGGAAACCACUUGGCUAGAGUCCGGAAGAGGAGAGUGGAAUUCCCGGUGUAGCGGUGAAAUGCGCAGAUAUCGGGAAGAACACCUAUGGCGAAGGCGGGUCUCUGGGCCGAUACUGACGCUGAGGAGCGAAAGCGUGGGGAGCGAACAGG